rnacentral:rRNA from 1 species
CCUACGGGGGGCAGCAGUGGGGAAUAUUGCACAAUGGGCGCAAGCCUGAUGCAGCCAUGCCGCGUGUGUGAAGAAGGCCUUCGGGUUGUAAAGCACUUUCAGCGGGGAGGAAGGCGUUAAGGUUAAUAACCUUGUCGAUUGACGUUACCCGCAGAAGAAGCAUCGGCUAACUCCGUGCCAGCAGCCGCGGUAAUACGGAGGGUGCAAGCGUUAAUCGGAACUACUGGGCGUAAAGCGCACGCAGGCGGUCUGUCAAGUCGGAUGUGAAAUCCCCGGGCUCAACCUGGGAACUGCAUUCGAAACUGGCAGGCUAGAGUCUUGUAGAGGGGGGUAGAAUUCCAGGUGUAGCGGUGAAAUGCGUAGAGAUCUGGAGGAAUACCGGUGGCGAAGGCGGCCCCCUGGACAAAGACUGACGCUCAGGUGCGAAAGCGUGGGGAGCAAACAGGAUUAGAUACCCGGGUAGUC